rnacentral:lncRNA from 1 species
AUUUAUAAAUGGUGACACACAUCAUGUGUAUAUACCUUAGUUAUUAUUUUCUAUACCAACAAUAUAAGAAAUAUACUGCUUAAAAAUCAUAUAUGCGUACCUUUGGAUAUAUUUUUUAAGAAAGGCGAUUUGGAUUCUAAUUUUUAAUAAUGAUAUAUGUGGGUGAUUUAGAUGCAAAUUUGAGAGGUGGAAAAUUUAGGUGCAAAUUUAGAGGGUUAUUUUAAAUUAUUUUUUAUAAUAUCAUAAGUGGGUAAUUUAGAUGAAUGAUUCGGGGUUAUUUUAAUUUAUUUAUAUAGUGGCAGGGUGGGUAAUGUAGAUAUAGGUUUGGGGGGUUACUUUAGUAUCUUUUCAUAAUGGCAUAGGUCGGUAGUUUUGUAGAAAAAAUAAUAGAUCCAAUGGCUAUGAUAAUUUAGGCCUACCAAAUUGAUAGCCAGAUAUGUUGCUUUGUUGAGAAAAUUUUUAGGAUUUCUCAUUUUUCUAGAGUGUUGAUCUAGGAUUUUUAGGUAGCUUCAUGUAUAGGCUUCAAAAGGAGCCUCCAAUUUGUAAUAAUAAGAUACUAAAUCAGUCAUGUUAUUGAAAUGGACCACAAAUCCAAUUAUGUUGUGUGGAUGUGACCACUAAAUUUGGUUUUGGAAACUUAGGAAGGAGCUCGAUUCAAUUAGUGUU